GUGUAGGUGGUGCUGCUGGAAGGUGUGCUGAAGGGACCCAUGGCAGAGCAGCAUGGCACAGGCACUUAUCCACAAGUACAGGACCCAGGACAUCGCAGAGACCAUGGCCAUUCUCUAAAGAGAAGACACAGCAAGAGAGGAAAGAAGAUAUGGGUAUUGUCAGAAAAGGAGCCAGGCUCUGGGAGGUGGAAAGCUUGUCAUCUUCACCUUUAAAUCAUCUCCUGGCGUCACCUCUGCCUGCUGAGACCUUUGAAGUGAGGGUGAGACACGGUGAGAUAAUGCGCAGGGUCCCGAUGGAUGGAUGGGGAUCAGCGUACAGUCGCCAGCCAGCCGGCCCCACGCCAGUGCAUCCGGCGGCGGAGUCGGGCAGGGAAAUGUAGGAGCAGAGCUGCUAUACCGCGCUAUGGCACCAGCAAGGAUUCUCUGGAUACUCACUCCACUGCUCUGCCAAUCACUCCUAAGGCACCUACUGGGUGUCAGAUGCUUAGGACAAAGUAGAAAAGGAGACAGCUGUGCCCCCCC